UGUGUGGUGUUGUAAUGGUUAAGAAUUUAGUUUCUAACCAAAAGGUCAGCAGUUUGAAUCUGCUCCUUGUAA
rnacentral:tRNA from 1 species